rnacentral:lncRNA from 1 species
ACUCAUUCAACUGCACCAGCGUUUUGCCGACAUUAUCACCACGAAACAGCCCAGCAAAAGCAGAUGGCACGCUUUCGAGGCCAGUGGAAAUGUCUUCGACUGCUCGCAUUCUGUCAUGGCGAAGAUGGUCGGAUGUGGACGAUAUGAAUCCAGCGUACACGUGAAGGUGAUCCAAGGCGAGGAACCCGCGGAGUGUGAUCCGUUUAUAGAUCACAUCGACCAUAUCAAGCGCCACUCGCUUGCCAGCGUCCGCGUAUUCGGAGAUUGCUCCGCAUACUGCAACUCUACCAAAGAGGUUCAUGUUGGCGACUGCAGCCUCUAACAUCGCAGAACCAACGUUGUCGAAGUAUAUGUCGAUUCCUUCCGGGAAGUACCUAUUCAUAGAAGUAAUCAGGAAGUAUGAACUGCUGCUUGCAAAGAUCGAUACAAGAUGGGAUCUGUCUUACCUUCUAAGAGCAGACUUCAGAUCAGGUUCUUCUUUGUAGUUAAACGCGUCAUCAAAUCCAAGCUUCUCUUUUAGAAGAUCCACCUUCGUCUUGCUUCCGGCGCAUCCCACGACGUAGCAGCCAGAGAGCUUGGCGUAUUGGCCGACCAAACUCCCCACCGAACCGGAUGCUGCGGAGACGAAGACCGUCUCCCCCUUCUUCGGCUUGCAGAUGUCGUAGAAGCCAGCGUAAGCUGUCAAUCCACUCGUCCCUGCGGCAAACAGCAGUGCGUUAUGAUCAGAGUGUCUCGUGGCCUUCUCCGUCUGUCAAUCUUGUGGAUCCAUUUCCUGCGUCUCUCUGAUAAUUACCUAAGAUGCUCGCAUGGUAUGACAGCGGGAACUCAUGCGGGUCAACCUUGGUCAACGUGGUUCCCGGCCGGACGACCGUGUAUUCCUCCCAGGCCAGAAGUCCGACCACCACAUCGUCUCUUUCGAACUCCUGGUUCCCUGAGACCACCACCUUCCCCACUCCGAAGGCAUCGAUUCUCUGUAGCAAAGGUCGCCAGAUGCACGCCGAGCUCGUGAAGAAACAAGCUAGCAAACCCAACGAACGACGAUAAUUAACAGGAAGCUCGCCUGCCCGGGCUGGAUGCGUGUUGCAGCAGCAGAGGUCUUCUGUGUGGAACUGUACGUCUUCAUGCGGUUGAGCUGGUAGGGAUCGAUCGACAGGAACAAGUUCUUGACGACUACUUCCUUGGACCCCUGCGCGGCGGAGAGGACAAGCGGUGCGCUCCGGAGCUCGAAGUCGGACUCGUUGGGGAGGCCAUCGAUGGCGUGCUUGAUGAUGAUGUGCUUGUUCUCCACCUCCAUCCUCGCUGCGCUCUCUGUUCUUGCCAAUGGCGGCUAGUUAACGAUCCCUUGCUGCGUAACGAUAAACACGCCAAUCUGGCAGAUAGAAGAAAGAGUGUCCUCGUCCUUUUAUUAUUUUAAUAUUUUUGAUAUUAUAUCAUUAUAAUUUUAAAUUAUAAAAAUUAUGAUAACAUGAAGAUUCUAUCAAUAAUAAAAAUCAUAAUAUCAAUAUGAUUUUCUAAAUUAUAAAAUAAUUUAAUAAAUAUUUUAUAUUGAUUAUUAAUUAAAAAUAUAUAUAAUUAUCAUAUUUUGUAAUCUCUCUUUGUGUAUAUAAAUUCAUAGUCACUCUCAAUUAAAAAAUUAAUUAAUUAUUUUUUCUCAUGAUAUCAUAACCAUAAUUGCUCAAAAGAUUUUUUUAAUUUUAUUUUUACUAUUAUUUCUUUAUACCUUUUCCUUUAUCAUAGUUAAAGGUAAUGCUUUGCUGUACCUAUUCUUUCAACUGGUUGAAUAUAGCAUUACAAUUUCUAUUUAGUUUUAUACUUUAAUAAACUUUUCUUUUUUAUAAGUGCCUUUGCAUUUUUUUUUUCUUGACUUUUUGGCAUGAUCGGUAAUAACUCUUCGUAUCACCCCCAAUUAUUUUACUAUUGAAAAUACUAUUGACUCCAUUAACAUUGCAAUCCAAGCUCCUCUCAAACUCAUAUUCACAAACUAUAUCUCUUAUUAUACUUGAUUAUUUAAUCGAUUAUGAUAUUAUGGGUUAAGUAAAUAAUAUCAUCACUUUUCCUCUACAAAUGAUUAGAGAGAAUAAUCUUAAGAUUAUUAAUCCUAAAUAUAUUUUUUUAAUAGGUCAAUAUCAUUUUUUUAGAAGUGUUAUCAUUACCUUUCUCUCUCAUCAAAUUAUUCCUUAGUCUCUACAAAUUUUUUCUUACGAAGUAUAGUCCAAAUUUACAAUAAUAUACAUCAACCAAUCUCGUAGUCACCUAAUGCAACUUCUAGAAAUUCUUUAAAACUCUAAUGAUAAAGAGAUCAUUUUUUUCAUGUAUUAAAUAUUCUUGGUCCAAAUUAUAAGGAGAUCUCGUGAUAAACUUAUAAGUUUUGAAGAAUUAUGAGACAAGUCAAUCGAUCAUCUCGGGAUAACACAGUGAAACUCACUCUCUCUAAUACCCCUUUCAUCGUCGUCCGAUAAUGCAGGUACCAUGGGACCCACCAUUGUCUCCUAUCACAAUGUAAACAAUUCAUUCUCCUACUGUACAUUAUUGACGAUAAAAAGAUUCGAGUGAAUUUUUAGAAAAAAUAUUUAUUUUUUUGAAAUUCUUCACAUAACAUUCAUAUUUUAAAAUAAUUAAAUAUUUUUUAAUAAUCAUUUUAUCCUUACUUUAGUUAAACCCUUUACCCAGCCCAGCCCAUUAGCCAUCGCCUGCAUUGUCACCUUCGUCGGAACUCAAUAAUCAAUGAUGAUGGCGCUCGUUCGAUGCCAGUGGAGUGUGAACUUAUGCGUGAUGAAAGGAGACGAUCAACUCUAGCACAAGAGCUAUAGUGGAGGGAGCGAUCCGCAUGAAGAAAGGGACUUGCAAGCUUCGACGAGGAUUACGAGCAAUGAUUGGGAUGACAGAGGUAAUGAUGGGUCCCGUAGAAAAACAAAAGGUAAAAUAAAAUUUUCAUAAAAUUAGUAAGAACAUGUAAAUUUUUGAAAAAUAAACGUUUUUUCGAAAAUUCGCCAAAAGCUUUCCGCUCUUAUUCAUCACAAGCAAUUCAGUCUAUCACAAACUUGUCAAAUGCACGAGCUUUUUGCCGACAUUAUCACCUCGAAACAGCCCAGCAAAAGCAGAUGGCACGCUUUCGAGGCCAGUGGAUAUGUCUUCGACUGCUCGCAUUCUGCCAUGGCGAAGAUGGUCGGAUGUGGACGAUAUGAAUCCAGCGUACACGUGAAGGUGAUCGAAGGCGAGGAACCCGCGGAGUGUGAUCCGUUUAUAGAUCACAUCGACCGUAUCAAGCGCCAGUCGCUUGCCAGCGUCCGCGUAUUCGGAGAUUGCUCCGCAUACUGCAACUCUACCAAAAAGGUUCAUGUUGGCGACUGCAGCCUCUAACAUCGCAGAACCAACGUUGUCGAAGUAUAUGUCGAUUCCUUCCGGGAAGUACCUAUUCAUAAAAGUAAUCAGGAAGUAUGAACUGCUGCUUGCAAAGAUCGAUACAAGAUGGGAUCUGUCUUACCUUCUAAGAGCAGACUUUAGAUCAGGUUCUUCUUUGUAGUUAAACGCGUCAUCAAAUCCAAGCUUCUCUUUUAGAAGAUCCACCUUCGUCUUGCUUCCGGCGCAUCCCACGACGUAGCAGCCAGAGAGCUUGGCGUAUUGGCCGACCAAACUCCCCACCGAACCGGAUGCUGCGGAGACGAAGACCUUCUCCCCCUUCUUCGGCUUGCAGAUGUCGUAGAAGCCAGCGUAAGCUGUCAAUCCACUCGUCCCUGCGGCAAACAGCAGUGCGUUAUGAUCAGAGUGUCUCGUGGCCUUCUCCGUCUGUCAAUCUUGUGGAUCCAUUUCCUGCGUCUCUCUGAUAAUUACCUAAGAUGCUCGCAUGGUAUGACAGGGGGAACUCAUGCGGGUCAACCUUGGUCAACGUGGUUCCCGGCCGGACGACCGUGUAUUCCUCCCAGGCCAGAAGUCCGACCACCACAUCGUCUCUUUCGAACUCCUCGUUCCCUGAGACCACGACCUUCCCCACUCCGAAGGCAUCGAUUCUCUGUAGCAAAGGUCGCCAGAUGCACGCCGAGCUCGUGAAGAAACAAGCUAGCAAACCCAACGAACGACGAUAAUUAACAGGAAGCUCGCCUGCCAGGGCUGGAUGCGUGUUGCAGCAGCAGAGGUCUUCUGUGUGGAACUGUACGUCUUCAUGCGGUUGAGCUGGUAGGGAUCGAUCGACAGGAACAAGUUCUUGACGACUACUUCCUUGGACCCCUGCGCGACGGAGAGGACAAGCGGCGCGCUCCGGAGCUCGAAGUCGGACUCGGUGGGGAGGCCAUCGAUGGCGUGCUUGAUGAUGAUGUGCUUGUUCUCCAGCUCCAUCCUCGCUGCGCUCCCUGUUCUUCCCAAUGGUGGCUACUUAAUGGUCCCUCUCUCCGUAAAUAGAAACAUGUGGAGCAGCCGGAACAGCGAAUCAGGCAGAAGGGGUAUCACCGUUCGGAAAGAUAAGUGUAUCCACAUCCUCUUAUUAUUUUAAUAUUUUAAUACUAUAUUAUUAUAAUUUUAAAUUAUGAAAAUUAUGAUAACAUAUUAUGAGGAUUCUAUUAAUAAUAAAUAUCAUGAUAUCAAUAUGAUUUCCUAAAUUAUAAAAUAAUUUAAAAAAUAAUUUUAUUUAUUAUUGAUUAAGAUAAUUAUGUAAUUAUCAUAUUUUAUAAUCUCUUUGUAUAUAUAAAUUUUAAUUAAUUAUUUUUUGUCUUCUGAUAUCAUAGCCAUAGUUACUUCAAAGAGGUUUUUUUAAAUAUUUUUUUUGCUAUUAUUGUUUUAUACUUUUUUUCUUAGGUAAUUUUUUGCCACUAUUAUACUUUGUAGCAUCUCUUUCAUCAUGAUUGAAUAUAGAAUUGCAGUUUCUAUUUAGCUUUAUGCUCUAGUUAAUCUCUUUUUCUUGUAAGCGGUUUUGAAAUUUUUUUUCUCCAUUUUUUGAUAUGAUCGGUGAUAUAUGUUCAACUAGUCACUCAUCUCAUGUCACCCCCAAUUCUUUUAUUCUUGAAAAUACUCUUCUCUUCAUUAAUAAUGUAAUCGAAGCUCCUCUCAAACUCAAAUCCACAUAUUAUACCUCUUAUUAUACUUAAUUUUAUUUAAUCGAUUAUGAUUUUAUUGGUUAUGUAAACAGUAUCAUCACUUGCCCUCUACAAAUGACUAGAGAGAAUAACUUUAAGGUUAUUAAUCAUAAAUACACUUUUUGGAUUCCUAAAUAUCAUCAUCUUCUUUUGAGUAUCAUCAUUGCCCCUCUCUUUCCUUAAUCUCUAAAAUUUUCAAAGCUUACAAUAAUGUACAUCAACCAAUACCUAAUGUAACUUCACGAAACCCUCUUAAGAGUAUGAAAGAGUACAUAAUUUAUUUCUAAGAGUAUAAAAUCUAUUUCAAAUUAUAAAAAACUUCGAGUGAAUUUCUAGAAAAAAUAUUUACUUUUUUGAAAUUCUUCACAUAAUAUUCAUAUUUUGAAAAAAAAAAAUUAAUUUUUUUUAAUAAUCAUUUUAUCCUUAGUUACCUCCUUCACCCAACUCAGCCCAUUAGCCAUAACCUGCAUUGUCGCCCUUGUUAGAAUCCAACAUUCGACGAUGAUGAUGCUCGCUUGAUGCUAGUGAAGUGCAAACUUAUACGCAACGAAUGGGGGUGAUCAACUCUCGCACGAGGAUUAUAGUAGCGGGAGCGAUAUGCAUAAAGAAGGAGGGUUGCGGGCUACCAUAAGGGUUACAUGUAAUGGUGGGAUGACAAAGGUAACGAUGAGUCCAUUCAAAGAAGGUAAAAUAGUUUUUUCAUAAAAUUAGGAGCGCUGUUUCAUAAGUUUUCAAAAUAAGAACGCGUAAAAUUUUGAAAAAUAAACGUUUUUUCGAAAAUUCGCCCAAAAGCUUUCCGCUGCAAUUCAGUCUAUCACAAACUUGUCAAUUGCACGAGCUUUUUGCCGACAUUAUCACCUCGAAACAGCCCAGCAAAAGCGGAUGGCACGCUUUCGAGGCCAGUGGAUAUGUCUUCGACUGCUCGCAUUCUGCCAUGGCGAAGAUGGUCGGAUGUGGACGAUAUGAAUCCAGCGUACAGGUUAAGGUGAUCCAAGGCGAGGAACCCGCGGAGUGUGAUCCGUUUAUAGAUCACAUCGACCAUAUCAAGCGCCGCUCGCUUGCCUGCGUCCGUGUACUCGGAGAUUGCUCCGCAUAAUGCAACUCUACCAAAGAGGUUCAUGUUGGCGACUGCAGCAUCUAACAUCGCAGAACCAACGUUGUCGAAGUAUAUGUCGAUUCCUUCCGGGAAGUACCUAUUCAUAGAAGUAAUCAGGAAGUAUGAACUGCUGCUUGCAAAGAUCGAUACAAGAUGGGAUCUGUCUUACCUUCUAAGAGCAGACUUCAGAUCAGGUUCUUCUUUGUAGUUAAACGCGUCAUCAAAUCCAAGCUUCUCUUUUAGAAGAUCCACCUUCGUCUUGCUUCCGGCGCAUCCCACGACGUAGCAGCCAGAGAGCUUGGCGUAUUGGCCGACCAAACUCCCCACCGAACCGGAUGCUGUAGAGACGAAGACCUUCUCCCCCUUCUUCGGCUUGCAAAUGUCGUAGAAGCCAGC